rnacentral:rRNA from 1 species
GUGGGGAAUAUUGGACAAUGGGGGGAACCCUGAUCCAGCCAUGCCGCGUGUGUGAAGAAGGCCUUUUGGUUGUAAAGCACUUUAAGCGAGGAGGAGGCUACCGAGAUUAAUACUCUUGGAUAGUGGACGUUACUCGCAGAAUAAGCACCGGCUAACUCUGUGCCAGCAGCCGCGGUAAUACAGAGGGUGCAAGCGUUAAUCGGAUUUACUGGGCGUAAAGCGCGCGUAGGUGGCCAAUUAAGUCAAAUGUGAAAUCCACGAGCUUAACAUGGGAAUUGCAUUCGAUACUGGUUGGCUAGAGUAUGGGAGAGGAUGGUAGAAUUCCAUGUGUAGCGGUGAAAUGCGUAGAGAUCUGGAGGAAUACCGAUGGCGAAGGCAGUCAUCUGGCCUAAUACUGACACUGAGGUGCGACAGCAUGGGGAGCAAACAGGAUUAGAAACCCCAGUAGUCC